AGUGAACGCUGGCGGUAGGCCUAACACAUGCAAGUCGAACGGCAGCACAGUAAGAGCUUGCUCUUACGGGUGGCGAGUGGCGGACGGGUGAGGAAUACAUCGGAAUCUACUUUUUCGUGGGGGAUAACGUAGGGAAACUUACGCUAGUACCGCAUACGACCUACGGGUGAAAGCAGGGGAUCUUCGGACCUUGCGCGAUUGAAUGAGCCGAUGUCGGAUUAGCUAGUUGGCGGGGUAAAGGCCCACCAAGGCGACGAUCCGUAGCUGGUCUGAGAGGAUGAUCAGCCACACUGGAACUGAGACACGGUCCAGACUCCUACGGGAGGCAGCAGUGGGGAAUAUUGGACAAUGGGCGCAAGCCCGAUCCAGCCAUACCGCGUGGGUGAAGAAGGCCUUCGGGUUGUAAAGCCCUUUUGUUGGGAAAGAAAAGCAGCAGGUUAAUACCCCGCUGUUCUGACGGUACCCAAAGAAUAAGCACCGGCUAACUUCGUG
rnacentral:rRNA from 1 species